rnacentral:tRNA from 2 species
GCGCCCGUAGCUCAAUUGGAUAGAGCAACGGCCUUCUAAGCCGUAGGUUACAGGUUCAAUUCCUGUCGGGCGCACCA